AGAUAUCUCCUGCGCCGCCCGCCAUUUUGACUCCAGUGUCUUGUUUGCAGUCGGCGCGUUAAGGGAACUGUGUUGCUCCGCAGGCGCGAGGCUGGGUACAGGGUCUAUUGUCUGUGGUUGACUCCGUACUUUGGUCUGAGGCCUUCGGGAGCUUUCCCGGGGCAGUUAGCAGAAGCCGCAGCGGCCGCCUCCGCCCGUCUCCGCUGUCCCCGGGCCCGGGAGGGACCAACUUCGCGUCACGCCCCUCAGCGGUCGCCACUCUCUUCUCUGUCGUUGGGUCCGCAUCGUAUUCCCGGAAUCAGACGGUGCCCCAUAGAUGGCCAGCUUUCCCCCGAGGGUCAACGAGAAAGAGAUCGACUGAGUCUUGCUCUGUUGUCCAGGCUGGAGUGCAGUAGCGCAGUUUCAGCUUACUGCAACCUCCACCACUCGGGAUCAAGCAGUUCUCCUGCCUCACCCUCCCGAGUAGCUGGGAUUACAGUGAGAUCACGUACUAUAGGUGAACUUUUAGCUCCUGCAGCUCCUUUUGACAAGAAAUGUGGUCGUGAAAAUUGGACUGUUGCUUUCGCUCCAGAUGGUUCAUACUUUGCUUGGUCACAAGGACAUCGCACAGUAAAGCUUGUUCCGUGGUCCCAGUGCCUUCAGAACUUUCUCUUGCAUGGCACCAAGAAUGUUACCAAUUCAAGCAGUUUAAG
rnacentral:sRNA from 1 species